GACGAACGCUGGCGGCGUGCCUAAUACAUGCAAGUAGGACGCUGAAGGAGGAGCUUGCUUCUCUGGAUGAGUUGCGAACGGGUGAGUAACGCGUAGGUAACCUGCCUGGUAGCGGGGGAUAACUAUUGGAAACGAUAGCUAAUACCGCAUAAGAGUAGAUGUUGCAUGACAUUUGCUUAAAAGGUGCAAUUGCAUCACUACCAGAUGGACCUGCGUUGUAUUAGCUAGUUGGUGGGGUAACGGCUUACCAAGGCGACGAUACAUAGCCGACCUGAGAGGGGGAUCGGCCACACUGGGACGGAGACACGGCCCAGACUCCUACGGGAGGCAGCAGUAGGGAAUCUUCGGCAAUGGACGGAAGUCUGACCGAGCAACGCCGCGUGAGUGAAGAAGGUUGUCGGAUCGUAAAGCUCUGUUGUAAGAGAAGAACGAGUGUGAGAGUGGAAAGUUCACACUGUGACGGUAUCUUACCAGAAAGGGACGGCUAACUACGUG
rnacentral:rRNA from 1 species